rnacentral:rRNA from 1 species
UACGGAGGGUGCAAGCGUUAAUCGGAAUUACUGGGCGUAAAGCGUGCGUAGGUGGUUCGUUAAGUCCGUUGUGAAAGCCCCGAGCUCAACUUGGGAAUUGCAGUGGAUACUGGCGAGCUGGAGUGCGGUAGAGGAAGGUGGAAUUCCCGGUGUAGCGGUGAAAUGCGCAGAUAUCGGGAGGAACACCAGUAGCGAAGGCGACACUCUGGGCCGGAACUGACGCUGAGGAGCGAAAGCGUGGGGAGCAAACAGG